UACAGAGGUGGCAAGCGUUGUUCGGAAUUACUGGGCGUAAAGGGCGCGUAGGCGGUUCGUUAGGUCCUGUGUGAAAUCCCCCGGCUCAACUGGGGAACUGCACAGGAAACUAGCGGGCUUGAGUUCGGGAGAGGGAAGCGGAAUUCCGGGUGUAGCGGUGAAAUGCGUAGAUAUCCGGAGGAACACCGGUGGCGAAGGCGGCUUCCUGGACCGACACUGACGCUGAGGCGCGAAAGCUAGGGGAGCAAACGGG
rnacentral:rRNA from 1 species